UACGUAGGGCGCAAGCGUUGUCCGGAAUUAUUGGGCGUAAAGAGCUCGUAGGCGGUCUGUUGCGUCCGCUGUGAAAACUCGGGGCUUAACCCCGAGCCUGCAGUGGAUACGGGCAGACUAGAGGUAGGUAGGGGAGAAUGGAAUUCCCGGUGUAGCGGUGAAAUGCGCAGAUAUCGGGAGGAACACCGGUGGCGAAGGCGGUUCGCUGGGCCUUACCUGACGCUGAGGAGCGAAAGCGUGGGGAGCGAACAGG
rnacentral:rRNA from 1 species